CGUGGGUAACCUGCCCAAGAGACUGGGAUAACACCUGGAAACAGAUGCUAAUACCGGAUAACAACACUAGACGCAUGUCUAGAGUUUAAAAGAUGGUUCUGCUAUCGCUCUUGGAUGGACCUGCGGUGCAUUAGCUAGUUGGUAAGGUAACGGCUUACCAAGGCAAUGAUGCAUAGCCGAGUUGAGAGACUGAUCGGCCACAUUGGGACUGAGACACGGCCCAAACUCCUACGGGAGGCAGCAG
rnacentral:rRNA from 1 species